AUUGAACGCUGGCGGCAGGCUUAACACAUGCAAGUCGAACGAGUGGCGGACGGGUGAGUAAUGUUUGGGAAUCUGGCUUAUGGAGGGGGAUAACUACGGGAAACUGUAGCUAAUACCGCGUACCAUAGGAUGAGCCCAAGUGGGAUUAGGUAGUUGGUGGGGUAAGGGCUCACCAAGGCGACGAUCCCUAGCUGGGCUGAGAGGAUGACCAGCCAAACUGGGACUGAGACACGGCCCAGACUCCUACGUGAGGCAGCAGUGGGUAAUAUGGCGCAAUGGGGGCAACCCUGAUGCAGCCAUGCCGCGUGUAUGAAGAAGGCCUUAGGGUUGUAAAGUACUUUCAGCGGGGAGGCGUUACCCGCAGAAGAAGCACCGGCUAACUCCGUGCCAGCAGCCGCGGUAAUUC
rnacentral:rRNA from 1 species